rnacentral:rRNA from 1 species
AACGUAGGAGGCGAGCGUUAUCCGGAGUUACUGGGCGUAAAGCGUGCGUAGGCGGUUUUGUAAGUGGGACGUGAAAGCUUCCGGCUAAACUGGAAGAGGACGACUCAGACUGCGAGACUAGAACGGGUCAGAGGUACGCGGAAUUCGGGGUGUAGCGGUGAAAUGUGUAGAGAUCCCGAGGAACACCAGUGGGGCAACCGGCGUACUGGGACUUAGUUGACGCUGAGGCACGAAAGCGUGGGGAG